CCGCGCACGCCUGACCGGAGCACCCCGCUUCACGGGGGCGUUCUGCGCGUCCUUCCUCCCCGGGACGCCCAGGAACAGGUGCACCAGGGUCCCGGCGGCUGGGCCGAGGGUCGCAAGCAGAGGGGACCGGCGGCUGCCAGCAAGUCCCAAGCAGAUGCCUCUGGCGGGGCAGCCGCAUUCUACAGCGCCCAUUCCGCGUACAUCGAGUAUCCAAAAUGAGUAAAAUCGGUUUAUACGUUGGAAUGUAGCUUAUGAUUCCAAAAUCUCAUCUCCAGGCUGCCUAGAUCACACGGCCCCGUUUCAUUCAUUUUUACUUAAUAACGGUCGUUGGACAAUUUAGAGAAGCAGCAGAAACCACGAGAAAAACAGUGGAGUCAAACGGCGGUAAGGACUGACAAGGCUGGCGGGGACAUUGAGCAAACGGCGGCUUCUGAGUUGGCACCAGUCCUUCACCACGUUGUGUGGGAAGUGUGGGGAGUCAGGAUUCCCACUCCUCCCCAGCCUUCCGGAAAAAUGCUCGGAAAUUUCCUUCCACAUUGACACCUGAUUACAGUCUACAUAGUAACCUUAUUCUGAUCGUUAAUGUAACCUUCUCGUAAUCUCUACAAAAAUACUUUAGUUUUUCUAGGCGCUGUUGUAGGAGCAAGGGAUACAAUGAUGAUCAAGGCAGAUGCAGCCCUUACCUUCAGGUCGUGGAGUCCGGAUACAGACUGGAGGCAGGCAGCUGUAAGAUGUGUGACAAAUGCUGCGCUGGAUCAGCCCAUGGUAUUAGGAGAGCAGGUAAGGGAGGGUGGGGACGGGAGCGGACAACCUGGAGGAAGAGGCACCUAAGCAGAGUCCGGAAGGCUGAGGAGGAGUCAGCAGGUGAAAGAGAGGGGAAUCAUGACAUGCCACCUCAACUGUAGGGCACGGCUAGCUGGCUGACUUAGCUGCUGUAACACCGGAUUUUUGCAAGACUCCCUGAGUAUUUCUCGUGGACUUGCGAACAAAUCUGAGCAAGAAAACCACGUAAUUUCUUUUAUGCCCUGCCCAAGAAAGCCA
rnacentral:lncRNA from 10 species